rnacentral:lncRNA from 1 species
UAUCAAAUUUAAAACCAAGCAAUCAAUUAUAGUGGACAAAAAGUCAAGUUCUACGGCUGAUAAAAGGAAUGUGGGGCUCGAUUAUAGGAAUUUUUAAUCACCGAGGGCUAGCUUGGAUGCUAUUCAUCUCUUACUGUGUAGAAUUCAAUGUCAAUAACUGAACACCAUUUAUAUUCAGAUGAUGGUUAACAAGGAUAUAUAUUUGGUUCAAAGAAAAUAUUUGAAAAGGGAA